rnacentral:rRNA from 1 species
UACGUAGGGGGCGAGCGUUGUCCGGAAUCAUUGGGCGUAAAGAGCGUGUAGGCGGCUUGGCAAGUCUGACGUGAAAGCCCGCGGCUCAACCGCGGAUUGUCGUUGAACUGCCUCGCUAGAGUCCGGAAGAGGAGAGCGGAAUUCCUGGUGUAGCGGUGGAAUGCGCAGAUAUCAGGAAGAACACCCGUGGCGAAGGCGGCUCUCUGGGACGGUACUGACGCUGAGACGCGAAAGCGUGGGGAGCGAACAGG